CCUAAACAAACACCCCCUGAGGGUAUUAUAGAAGGACAUCCCAAUGAUUCUCAUUUGCUCCAGGUGAAGGUCAAAUGGUUAGAGUAAAAAAGAGAGGCAAUAUAAAUAAGAUUGAUGCAUAAAAGGAUAAUUUUGGUUCCAGAAAUAGUUUUAUGACUUUUAUCUUAUUUUUUACCUUACUUAUCUAAUCUUAGGCGGAUAUAUGGAGUUGGUAGAUGCAAUCCUUAGGUGCGUAUGCCUUUUAACAUUGAUGAUAGUUAUUAAUUUGCAAACUUCUAAAUUUUUGUCAAUUUAUUUUAUCUGAUUCUAUUUUCCUCUACUGUUCUUAUUAGUUUUUGUUUAGACUAGUGAUAAUACCUCCAUACUCAAAUGUGUUGUUUAAGUCUUUCUUAUGUUGCAGAUGUUAUCAGUUACUAAUAAAAAACAAUAAUAUGAUGGGUUGGAGAUCGUAAAAAGGCGGACUGAACAACGUUUGUAUAGUUGCAAGGAGUAUCAACUUAAAAAAGAUCUACUUCGCUUUUAUGCCUAUUAUGCAACAAAUUAUCCAUGGCAAGAGCUUUGCCAAUAAGAGCUUUGGGAGUAGGUUCUUGUUUUCAUCAUCUAAGUCGUUUUUUCUCAUGGUUUGCAAUAAAACUAAGGUUUUAUAAACAAAAUCUCUUUAGUUUAAGAAUGAGCUGGCGAAGCACGUUGCUGCUGGUGGCGUUCAGAAGUAGGUCGUGGAAAGCAGGCAACCCUUUAUAUCUGAAGAAGGUGAAUUUUGGUGGUUCGAAAUUGUGAGUGCGGGUUUACCAAUUGAAUUGUUGGAACGAAAUUGUUGUAUGUAUGCUUGAAUUU